rnacentral:lncRNA from 1 species
AUAUCCAAUCAUGCUUGGUUUGAUACGGGGUGAUAUGGUUUAGUACAAUUUAAUACCUUUGCAAAAUGUAGGGAACCCAAGCAAACAUUGAUGCCCUAUGUGCACACUAGCCUGAUAUGGACUGACACCUAUAACCUUGUAUUAUUAAGUUUGUUCUUUGACCUUUCUUUCAUAGCUAUGUACAUAUAUACAUACGCAUGCAUGUACAUGUAUGUAGAGAG